GGAAUAUUGGGCAAUGGGCGAGAGCCUGACCCAGCCAUGCCGCGUGCAGGAAGAAGGCUUUCUGAGUCGUAAACUGCUUUUGACAGGGAAGAAUAAGCUGGACGUGUCCAGUGAUGACGGUACCUGCAGAAUAAGCACCGGCUAACUCCGUGCCAGCAGCCGCGGUAAUACGGAGGGUGCGAGCGUUGUCCGGAUUUAUUGGGUUUAAAGGGUGCGUAGGCGGCCGUUUAAGUCUGGGGUGAAAGCCCGCUGCUCAACAGCGGAACUGCCCUGGAUACUGGAUGGCUUGAGUACAGACGAGGUUGGCGGAAUGGACGGAGUAGCGGUGAAAUGCAUAGAUACCGUCCAGAACCCCGAUUGCGAAGGCAGCUGACUAGGCUGUUACUGACGCUGAGGCACGAAAGCGUGGGGAGCGAACAGGAUUAGAUACCCCAG
rnacentral:rRNA from 1 species